CUCUUUUGGAGCACGCUCGCUCGCACGCUCGCUAUAACUUUCGCGCUCAUAUUAUUAUAAUAUUAUUAUAAUAUUAAAAUAUUAUAAAUUGCGUUAUCGCACAGUGCAGUUAUUAACACAAAUGCCAGGUUGUGUCUGAAUACUAGAUGGGUGUGAUAAGACUGACCAGCGCAAAGGUCUUUUAUUGGUAAAAAGGGAAUCAGUCGAAAAUUAACGUUUAACAGAUCAGACGGAUCAUACGACAACUCGAGACAUUUGACUUAAAAGGAAGAAAGACGGUUAUCUGUCGCGAUAGCAUCUGUCAUCGAGAGGUAACCGAGGUAUGAUCCCCUUCAUAGAAGCCCAUUGACCCUCACAGAGCUCGUGAAAGGUCAAACGCAGCAGCGACUGAUCACCUAGAAUACCAGGGCCUCUACAAGUUGCACCAGCUCCAAAUUCCCAGAUACUCC